rnacentral:rRNA from 1 species
UAAUACGGAGGAUGCAAGCGUUAUCCGGAUUCAUUGGGUUUAAAGGGUGCGCAGGCGGAUUGGUAAGUCAGGGGUGAAAUCCCACAGCUCAACUGUGGACCUGCCUUUGAUACUGCUAGUCUUGAGUAUAGUUGAAGUUGGCGGAAUGUGUCAUGUAGCGGUGAAAUGCUUAGAUAUGACACAGAACACCGAUCGCGAAGGCAGCUAGCUAAGCUAUAACUGACGCUCAUGCACGAAAGCGUGGGGAUCAAACAGGAUUAGAUACCCUGGUAGUCCACGCCGUAAACGAUGAUUACUCGAUGUUGGCGAUACACAGUCAGCGUCUGAGCGAAAGCAAU